rnacentral:rRNA from 1 species
AUGGACGGGAAUUCGCGGUGGGCGCGCGCGCGGGGCAUGCCAACGUCGGCCGGCCACGCGGCUUUGCAGCCGGCGCUGGAGGAGACGGAAGAGGUUGACUUCUGCAUGGCCGUGUACAACCGGUUCAUCCAGGACAAUGUCGCCCAGUUUUUAAGGGAAGGGAUUCGUCUACGGGUAAUCGGUGACUGCUCAAGGCUGCCGACUUAUCUGCAGAAAACUGCACAAAACGCCGAGGAGGAAACAAGUAGCAACUCACAGCUCGACCUGAUGCUAGCUAUCGGCUACAGUGGACGAACGGACAUCUUGCAAGCAUGCGGGAAGCUUGCCCGGAAGGUGCACAGCAAGCUACUCAGGCCGGAGGACAUCGACGAGUCACUAUUCGCCGAUGAGCUCCAGACGAGCUGGACAGACGAGUUCCCUUGCCCCGACCUACUCAUCAGGACCAGCGGCGAACUGAGGCUCAGCAACUUCUUGCUGUGGCAGUCGGCGUACUCGGAGCUCUUUUUCACUGACACGCUCUGGCCUGACUUCGGGGAGGCUGAAUAUCUCCAAGCACUCAUGUCUUUCCAGAGCAGAGACAGGCGUUUUGGAAAAAGAAAACUCUAG